rnacentral:rRNA from 1 species
UACGAAGGGGGCUAGCGUUGCUCGGAAUGACUGGGCGUAAAGGGCGCGUAGGCGGCUCAUACAGUCAGAUGUGAAAUUCCUGGGCUUAACCUGGGGGCUGCAUUUGAUACGUGUGGGCUUGAGUGGGGAAGAGGGUCGUGGAAUUCCCAGUGUAGAGGUGAAAUUCGUAGAUAUUGGGAAGAACACCAGUGGCGAAGGCGGCUCACUGGACCGGAACUGACGCUGAGGCGCGAAAGCGUGGGGAGCAAACGGG